GGGCGAUUAGCUCAGCUGGGAGAGCGCCUGCCUUACAAGCAGGAUGUCGGCGGUUCGAGCCCGUCAUCGCCCA
rfam:Desulfosporosinus sp. Tol-M Desulfosporosinus_sp._Tol-M_Contig_8, whole genome shotgun sequence.